GCUCGCGUAGCUCAGGGGUAGAGCGCAUCCUUGGUAAGGAUGAGGUCGUCGGUUCAAUUCCGACCGCGAGCUCCA
rnacentral:tRNA from 1 species